GACGUAGGGUGCGAGCGUUGUCCGGAUUUAUUGGGCGUAAAGAGCGUGUAGGCGGCCAGGUAGGUCUGCUGUGAAAACUCGAGGCUCAACCUCGAGACGUCGGCGGAAACCAUCUGGCUAGAGUCCGGAAGAGGCGAGUGGAAUUCCUGGUGUAGCGGUGGAAUGCGCAGAUAUCAGGAGGAACACCAACGGCGAAGGCAGCUCGCUGGGACGGUACUGACGCUAAGGCGCGAAAGCGUGGGGAGCGAACAGG
rnacentral:rRNA from 1 species